CCUACGGGUGGCAGCAGUGAGGAAUAUUGGUCAAUGGACGCAAGUCUGAACCAGCCAUGCAGCGUGCAGGAUGACUGCUCUAUGAGUUGUAAACUGCUUUUGUACGGGGAUAAACGCAGAUACGCGUAUCUUUCUGAAUGUACCUUAUGAAUAAGGAUCGGCUAACUCCGUGCCAGCAGCCGCGGUAAUACGGAGGAUUCAAGCGUUAUCCGGAUUUAUUGGGUUUAACGGGUGGGUAGGCGGGAGGAUAAGUUCCAGGUGAAAUUCCGCGGCUCAACGGCGGAAUUGCCUGUGAUACUGUUUGGCUGGAGUGUAGAUGCGGUAGGCGGAAUGUGUGGUGUAGCGGUGAAAUGCUUAGAGAUCACACAGAACACCGAUUGCGAAGGCAGCUUACGAAUCUACGGCUGACGUUGAGGCACGAAAGCGUGGGGAGCAAACAGGAUUAGAUACCCGUGUAGUC
rnacentral:rRNA from 1 species